AGAAAACACAAUUUAGUUUUUUGUUUAAAAACCUUACAUAGAGGUAAGCAAUCUUUGUUUACCACACAAACAUAUCUGAGUAAGCUUUCGCCGUGACAUAGGCAGAAAAGUGUGACUAUUUACUUUUAAUAGCUCAAUUUAAAUAAUAUGUUUACAUAUAAAUAUAACAACUGAGGUUUAUCUGAUUACUGAAAAAUAAAACAGUAAUACUGUAAAUAAAAAUCACUAUUUUGAGUUUUUUCAAAAUAUACUCUCUUCAGUGAUAGAAGAGCUAUGGCAAGAGAAACCACCCACGUGCAAAAUGCAUAAGAGUCAUUUUAUGCUAAAUGUAUAAAGUUUUAUCUUGUGCUUUAUUUUAAUUUUGUGCUUUCAUGGACACCUAUGAAUAUAAAAAGGACUUAAAAAUGUAUGUGUUACAAAUAAAUAACUUAUCCACUCUUCAGUUACGCAAAGGAGUAGGUUCUUUCCUUGUCUUUUUGAGCUUACAUUCAUUACGGUCAUCUGUCAAAUGCUGUGGUAGGUGCUUUCACAGACUUUCUGAUAUUUAGAGUUCAUUACCCUAUUAAGAGGGUAAGAGUCUUAUUUUUACAAGUGAGGCAAAUAAGGCUCAGAAAAAAUAAGCACUUUGCCCAAAAAAAAAAAAAAAAAAAUUAUUGUGUCAGUAAGUGAAAGAAUCUCUAAUUCUUAAAUUCCUGUCUUUUCAGAGUAGGAAGGCAAAGCAAAUAACUGAAAUACAACAAAUCAAAUUAAACAAUCUUCUUAAGCCCCUUCGUUUUAUAAGUUAUAACCAUGUGUGUAAUAAGUACACUAGAUACUUUUUCUCAUGAAGAAAUCAGAAUGUAUCCCUAUGCUUUUGA